rnacentral:rRNA from 1 species
UACGUAGGGAGCAAGCGUUGUUCGGAUUUACUGGGCGUAAAGGGCGCGUAGGCGGCAAAUUAAGUCAGCUGUGAAAUCUCCGAGCUUAACUCGGGACUGUCAGCUGAUACUGAUCUGCUAGAGUGCGGAAGGGGCAAUCGGAAUUCUUGGUGUAGCGGUGAAAUGCGCAGAUAUCAGGAGGAACACCAAUGGCGAAGGCAGCUCGCUGGGACGGUACUGACGCUGAGACGCGAAAGCGUGGGGAGCAAACAGG